GACCUUAAAAAGUCCUUUAAACAC
rnacentral:tRNA from 1 species